rnacentral:lncRNA from 1 species
UGGAACACAAUUACCAUUUAAAUGCCCACCUCCAUAGAAAUCACAUUUCAGAGUUUGGAUUUGACUUACAUUAGCUUGGAUCAGCUAAGAAGCAGCCAACUUCUUGGUAAGGUCCUCCAUAUGGGCUAGUAAUGCAGUUUGUAUGUUAACAACUAACACACCUUUUCCUUUCACACCUUUCCCACUUGAGUGGUAUUCAUUUCGACACAUAUUUUCAAUGAG